AGAAAUAGAACACGUACGUAUCAUCUUUUCAUCUUCCUCAAAACCUUCCCCCACUCGCCUCCGUCCGACGCUGAUUCCGGCCGCCACGAACACUGAUCGAACAAACAAAAAGCAGUUUUGAACUCCUUAUCACCUAAGCUUUCAACUGAUCCGAAUGAUUUCGUGAUUUGAGCAAUUUCAUCUUCACCCAUUUUUCUCUUCCAUCACGCUACAUUCUACUCGGAGCCAUCAACGAUUAUUCUUCAACUAUAAAUCGAAAAGGCUAGCUGAAGGUGAACUUACUGAAGAAUCGGUGACUAAAGCGCUUUUCUGGAGAAUGUAGGCGGAUUCGUCGACUGUUCCGAUUCAGUCGAUUGUGGUGGUGGAAUUGGCUCCGGUGGAGAAAUAUGAUGUGAUAGCUCUAUGCAAGUGUUUGUGAAGGGUUUUAUAGCGAAAAUUAUGCAGAAGAAUAUUGAUCUGCAGUUGAUGAGAGGGAAGAUUGUGUUGUUGGUGUAACACCCCAAAUUUCUAUUUAAUUAAUUUUGUGAGGUUAAAUAGGUGGAGUCGUGUUUAUUAUGAUUAUAAUGUGGAUUAGUGAUGCAUUAUGAGGGAUAAUAGGAUGAAGAGAAGAAUUAAGUAAAUAUAAUACAAGUCGGAGGUGUAGAAUAUAAGUUUUAAAUAAGUGGGGGAGGGGAGGAGUAAAAGUAUAGUGAAUAAAGGAGAAGAAAGUUAUAACAUGUGAUUGACCCAAGUAUAAAUAGAAACAUUAGAAGUUAGAAGAGUCACUUUUGUUGAACGUGAAAAAAGAAAGAAAAAAGGAGCAUAGGAGAAGAAACCCUAGUUGCGACGGGAUCAAGCCAAGCUGGAAAUUUUAGAAGAAAUCGAGGUAAGGGGGAGAAUCUCUUCAUCUCUAGGGUUUAUUAUUUUGUUGUAGGGUUGUAAAGGGGUUGGAGUAUGAGUGUUGUUAUGAUGGUGAUGAGGACGUUGUUAAGGUUAAUUAAUUCCUAAGUUAUGAUUGUUGUUAUGAGGAAGAGUUCUACUGAAAAAUUAUGAUGAAUGAAUGUAGAAUUGUUGUUAAAAGAUAGAGGGAAUUAACACCCAAAUAGUAGGGUAAACCUAGAGUGAUGAUUAGGGACAAUUUGGGUGUGUUGGGAUUGAGUUAAGUGAUUUAAGAGUGAUUCUUAAGUGAAAAACGCAUUGUUAAACUGAUUUUUGAACUGCUAUGAAGCUCAAAAUCGGCCACCGAGUCUCCAAAAUCAGCCACCGACUUCUGAGCUGAUUUUCCAGCUUUGGUUCGACAAAAAUCGGCCACCAAUUUGUCAAAAUCGGCCGCCGAUUUUCUGGCAGGCAAAUCUGGAAAAUAUUUGUAAUUUUCAC